rnacentral:rRNA from 1 species
UACGGAGGGGGCUAGCGUUGUUCGGAAUUACUGGGCGUAAAGCGCGCGUAGGCGGACCUGCAAGUCGGGGGUGAAAGCCCGAGGCUCAACCUCGGAACUGCCUUCGAUACUGCGGGUCUCGAGUCCGGGAGAGGUGAGUGGAAUUCCUAGUGUAGAGGUGAAAUUCGUAGAUAUUAGGAAGAACACCAGAGGCGAAGGCGGCUCACUGGCCCGGAACUGACGCUGAGGCGCGAAAGCGUGGGGAGCAAACAGG